rnacentral:misc_RNA from 1 species
UAUAGAGAAAAAUGUAUACAAUUUAUAUAGAGUUAGAGCAUGUAUAAAAAUUUCAGAAAUGCAAUACAUAUAGUAUUUUGUAAGUUUUAAUAAUGGCAAGAAGAAAUGAUGAUGUUUCUAAUGAUUUGCACAUAAAAAUGUGUAAAAAAAUUGCACAAAUUACUAAAGUUGUUUUUCAUCUUAACUCUAAAGUGUCAGAAAAUCAAAAAAUUAUCAAUGAAAGUAAAGUCAAGCAUGAUGAAAAUAUUAAGUGUUUAACUGAAAGUUUUAAUACUAAAACUGUUAAAUAUGAGCAACAACUUGAAGCUGCACAGCAGCAGCAGAAGGUUGCUAACUAUAUUCAAUGUGAUUUUGAAAAGGUUAAGCUUGAAAAUCAGUAUUUGCUUACUAAAUUAAAUGAACAUCAGGAAGCUAAUGAUUUGUAUAAAGAGCAAAUAAGUAGGGCAUUUGAAGAAAAUGGUUUUCUUCAAGAUCAGCUUGUUAAACAAAAACACGACACUGAAGUACUAAUUAAAGAACUUAUAUUUGAUUUGGAGAAUAAAAUGCAGAUCUCAUUAGAAAAACAAGAAUUGCAGUAUCAAGAAGAAAUAUAUACCAUUAAAUCUGACAAUGAAAAAAAACUGUCUGAAAUAGACCACAAAAAUAAGCUUUUAGAAUUAAAUAACGAAAAAAAAUUAAUAGAAAUGAAUUUUUUAAAAGUUAAUUCAAAUGAUCUUAAUAUACGAGUUCAAAGUUUAGAAGAAAUAAAAGUGUCACUUGAGUUAGAAAUCGCAAAGUUAACAAAGUCUUAUGACGCCAAGAUAAAUGAACUAAAUUUGUUUUAUGAAAAUGAAAUUAAAAUGCUGAAAGUAAAGUAUGUCCAUGACAAUGAAAAUUUUCAAUUUAAAGAAAAGUCUCAACUUCAAGAUUUAGAAUCUAAAAGUUUCAAUUUUCAAAACCAAAUUUGUAUGCUCCAAUCUGAAUUAUCUAUAAAAGAAAAAGAAAUAAGCGAUUUGAAAAUAGAAUUUGUUUUUUUGCAGGAUUCACUUGGAACUAAGAAUGUUUUGUUAUCUCAGGUGAUUAAUGAGUUAGAAGAAAAAAAACAAUACAUUUUAGCAUUGGAAGAAGAUAUAAAAAUUAGCAAGAAUGAAGAGAUUGCCAAAUUAGAAGAAGCAAGAUUAACAUUUAAAAAUCUUGAAAAAGAAAGAGACAAUGCAAUUUUGCAUGUGUCAGAAAAAAAUGAUACCAUUACAGAUUUACAAACUGCACUUGAACAUGUCAAUAAUGAAAUGAAUAAACAACUAAAAAAGUUUAAAGAUUUACAUGAUACAAGUUCCAUUUUGCUGGAAGAAAAUAAAAUCUAUCAAAAAAAUAUAGAGGAUGAGAAAUCAAGAACCUUUAUGUACUCUGAGUUAUACAAGAAUAAUCUAGCUACUAAAGAAGAAGAAAUUAAAAAUUUGCGUUCUGAAUUAAGCAGGAUUAAAGAUAAACAUUCUUUUGAUGUUUCAAAUCUUGAAAAAAAAAUGAAAGAAGAUUUGGUUUUAGAAGAAGAGAAACACUUAAAAACUGUAGAUAAAUUGGUAAAUGAACAUGAACAGAAGCUAGUAAGUAUUAAAAAUAAACUUUCUCUUGAGUUAAAGCAAGAAAAACUAAAUAUUGUUGAUCUUCAUUGCGCACAGAUAAAUGAGAAAGAAAACACUAUAACAUUUCUUAAAACUAGUAUAGAAAAGCACAUUAAUCAUAAUAGUUCUUUAAAUUCACAAAUUGCUGGUUACAAAGAAUUUAUUCACUGUUGUGUUGAUACAGAAAAGAGACUUAGUGAGGAAAUUUUAGAGUUAAAACAUAAACUUUCUGCUGCUGAAAAUCAAAAUUUUAAUUUGCAAAAGUGUGUUACAGAUAUCAAGAGUGUUGAGCAAAAGCAGGCAAUUCUAUGGCAGGAAGAAAAAAGCAAUUUUCAAAGUUCUUGUGAAAACUUAAAUAAUGAGAAAUUGUUGAUUGAAACAGAAUGGCAAAAAAAAAUAGUUAAUGAAGUUUUAAAAUGGAAGUUGAAAUUAAAGUCUCUUGAAGAAAAAAAGGAUCAAGAACUGUUAAAAGCAAAACAAGAUCUACAACUGUUUACUGAAAAUAAAGAACAAGAAAUAUUUAUACUUAAAGAGCAGAUAACUCAGCUUAAUUCGGUUAUAAAUAGACAACAAAAUCAAUUAUCAUUAACCUUACUUGAACAGCAAAAGACAAUUGAAUUGUUAAACAAAAAUUUUGAAGAAGAAAAGGUUCUUUUUGAAAAUAAUUACAGGCUAACAAUAACUGCAAUGGUUUCAGGACAUUCCAAAGAAAUUGAAGACAUAAAAUUAUAUUUGAUUAAAGACAAAGAGAGUGCAAUAUUAGCCUUAAAUCAAAAGUAUGAGAAAAAAAUACUUGAUAUUCAAAAAGAAAAUCAGCUUUAUACUGAUGCCCUUAAAAGUAACCUUGAAUACCAAAAUAAAAAAGCUGUUGUUGAAUUAAUGAAAAGCUUUGAUGAGGAAAAAGCAUUACUGCAAUCAAGUCUACAUCUGCAGUAUGAAGAGAAAAUAAAAAAACAUUCAGAAGAAUUUAAUGACAAAUUUAUAGCAUGUAAAAAAAAACUUAUUUACAGUGAAGAAGUAAGAGAUAAAGAGCUUUCCAUCUACAAUGAAAAAGUUAGUGAUCUUCUUAAACAACUGGAACAAGAAAAGGAGCAAGUUAAAACACUUUCAUUGAAAGUAACUUACAUGACAGAUGAAGCAAUUAAAAUUGGAAAAGAAAUUUACCUCAAAGGGCAGGAGGUCUUAGAUGUGAGAAGAGAAUGCAAUAAACAAAUGAGGUUUGUGAAACACAGUGGGCACAAGACGUGUUUUUAACGUCUUUAAAAUGUAUUUAUACGCGUUUUAGAUCUCUUAAACAUGUCAUGUCCCCACCAGAGAACAACUUGAAAUCUUAACAAUGAAACACGAUGUUUACGUUGAUGAAGUAAAAGCUAAAUGUGCCUAUGAAUUGAAUUUGAUGGCUAAUGAACAUA